AACAAAUCAAAAAUUUGUUUCGAGGUAAGGUAACACACUGACUCCUCACCCCAAAACAAGCUGAUUAAGAUGAAGUUGUUUUGAGGGAAGAGUCUCUUUUAGCUUGCCCAGCAACAGAAGGGAUUUCUACCACGUACUACCACACUACCCAAACAUGUGAAGGACUGUACACUACUAUAAACAGCUUCACCCUAAAGUGACAAGGC